rnacentral:rRNA from 1 species
GACGAACGCUGGCGGCGUGCUUAACACAUGCAAGUCGAACGGAGUUCCUUGGAUAGAGGCUUCGGCCAAUUGAAUUGGAACUUAGUGGCGGACUGGUGAGUAACGCGUGAGGAACCUGCCUUUCAGAGGGGGACAACAGUUGGAAACGACUGCUAAUACCGCAUGACACAUUCGGGCGGCAUCGCUUGAAUGUCAAAGAUUUUAUCGCUGAAAGAUGGCCUCGCGUCUGAUUAGCUAGUUGGUGAGGUAACGGCCCACCAAGGCGACGAUCAGUAACCGGACUGAGAGGUUGACCGGCCACAGUGGGACUGAGAUACGGCCCAGACUCCUACGGGAGGCAGCAGUGGGGAAUAUUGGGCAAUGGACGCAAGUCUGACCCAGCAACGCCGCGUGAAGGAAGAAGGCUUUCGGGUUGUAAACUUCUUUUAAGUGGGAAGAGUAGAAGACGGUACCACUUGAAUAAGCCACGGCUAACUACGUGCCAGCCGCCGCGGUAAAAC